CCAUAUCACGUACGAUCACCAAAGUUAAGCAACGUCGAAUCUGGUCAGUACCUAGAUGGGUGACCGCUUGUGAAUACCAUGUGUUGCAA